UGGGAGAUCGUCUAAUGGUAGGACUCUAGUCUCUGGAUCUAGCUAUCGGGGUUCGAAUCCCUGUCUCCCAGCCA
rnacentral:tRNA from 1 species